rnacentral:lncRNA from 1 species
UUUCCCUGUUUGACCACUAGGUUUUAUGGGUAUUAUGACUCAUACUGUGGUACUCUAUUGGGAAGAAUUAUUGACAUAAACACAUACAGCAUGAAUAGCUGUGGAUUGAAAACAUAAUGUUUUGCCAAACACCUGUGGAAAUAUGCAGCUGCAGAGAGAGAGAGAGAGAGAGAGAGAGAGAGACAGAGAGGGAGAGAGAGAGAGAUAGGAAGAGAGGGGGGUAGAGAGUGACAGAGAGGGAGAGAGAGAUAGGAAGAGAGUGAGAGAGAGAGAGAGAGAGAGAGAGAGACAGAGAGGGAGAGAGAGAGAGAUAGGAAGAGAGGGGGGUAGAGAGUGACAGAGAGGGAGAGAGAGAUAGGAAGAGAGGGAGAGAGAGAGAGAGAGAGAGAGAGAGAGAUAGGAACAGAGGGGGGUAGAGAGUGAGAGGCAGAGAGGGAGAGAGAGAGAGAGAAAGAGAGACAGAGAGAGACAGAGAGGGAGAGAGAGAGAGAAAGAGAGACACAGAGAGAGAGACAGAGAGAGAGAGAGAUAGAAAGAGAGGGGGGUAGAGAGUGAGAGAGAGAGAGACAGAGAGAGAGAGACAGAGAGAGAGGGGGGUAGAGAGAGAGAGAGAGAGAGAGAGAGAGAGAGAGAGAGAGAGAGAGAGAGAGAGAGAGAGAGAGAGCGGUAGAGUGUGAGAGAGAGAGGAACAGUCGGAAAAGCAGGGGAUGGAAGGGAACAGAACCGUAAAUCAGUAAACCAGUGCCCUUUGAUAACGACCUGGGAUCGUAGUGGGAUCAUAGCAGAGCUGGGUCACAGGGAUCGGGUUACGCCACAUUCCUUCCCUCAGCCCUCCACGUCCCUCCUGCUGAGAGGCAGUGAACACAGGCAUCUUCAGUUUCAGCAAUUAAAGAAAUGUGUCAGUCGGUCUUACAGGCCGUUACCAUUCCAAAUGGUCUGACUGGUCAGCCCACUCCCACUGUUUUCCUUCUAUUGAUGGGGAUAGGUUAGUUUAUGUGUGUGUGUGUGUGUGUGUGUGUGUUAUUUGCGAGGGAGAGCAAAGCACAUGGUCCAGUGAUUUGUACAGGAGCCACUGAGGUUGGAGGAAAAAAACUAGGUUCAAUUUCAGGGAUUUUUUUUCUUCUCACUUCAGACAAAAAGGCAGAUAGAAAAAAGCCAUUUUGGAAAGUUGGGAUUUGAUGGAAUGAAUGUAAAAAUAAUAAAUUAGUUAAAUGGAAUGGCCUCUAAGGAUGUAAAUAAGCUUAUCGGGA